rnacentral:snRNA from 1 species
GUGAGGGCGAUCUGGCUGCGACAUCUGUCACCCCAUUGAUCGCCAGGGUUGAUUCGGCUGAUCUGGCUNGAAGCUGCGCGCUCGGUGGAAGAGGACGACCAUCCCAGAUAGAAGGAGUGUACCGAUCUUCGGUCAAGGGUAUACGAUAGCUGCGCUCCCCUGCUAGAACCUCCAAACAAGCUCAAGGCCCAAAUUGGAGUCAGUUGCAUUUAAAUGCGCCCCGAUGUGUCACAAUCGUCUGUGCUUCCAU